AGGAUGUGGGCAAAAAGGACCCUUUUGCUGUGUGGGUCCAGAUCACACAGUGUUGAACUUUGCUUAUGGAACUUGUUGGCUACAUUUGCAGAGUGCUUGUUCUGCCAUAAUUUUUUCUUUCCAUAGUGAUGGCAGGAAAACGCCCCAAACAGAUGCUAAUGUCUCAUGAAAAUUACUAAAACCAUAAGGGCUAUACUAGUACCUGUAAAGAUUAGUCAAGCAUAACCCCAAAUACACACCACAAAAACAUUGAAAGACAAUCCCAAAGAACUCAGAGCUGAAGUUAGCCAAGCCAUUGUAAUACAUCUGUGAGCACCGAGGAAUUCCUGUCAACAUGGGAACCUGGGAAGUUCCUUUCAAUUUUUUUUCCCCUUACUAUUCCAGUAUUUACAACAAACAGUUUGUCUCUUUUUGAGGUUCUAAUAUAAUACUGCAUUUAAACUUUUAGAUUACUUUCCAAUUAAAUUAUGCUUUUGCAUUUUUCCUAUCAACAAUGUCAGCAAUUUCUCAUUAGAUCUGUGCACAUUCAUGAGCAAUAUGCUGCAGUAUCCCCAUCUAGGUAGGACAUAGGAGGUAGGUGUGGGGGGGAUAGAAUAUAAGAAAAUAAAGAUAGUGCAGAAAGUAAUCUCACCCCUAAGGAGUUACAGCUGGGCCAAUUACCAAAGAUUAGGAACAGGCCUGACUUUAGCAGGCCACAGCUGUGACCAAUGAGGAGAAGAAGAGUGCUAUAAAAGAGUGGGUUGGCUCGGUGAGAAAGAAUUGGCGUCAGUUGGCUUCUUGUUGAGGAAGAAAGAGUCAGUGCUCUGAAGAGCUGCCUGUGAGAAAACACCAAUAAGCAGUGCUCAUACUAUAUGGGAGAGGAAAUCCUUCCUCUUGUAGAUGUCAAGGCAAAUGGAAGACUCAAAACCAAAUCAUGUUUUCUCACACAAAAUGUGAAACUGUGACUCCCUCGGGAAGAAGCUACGGAUGAUGAAGUUCUACAUGGUUUCAAAAUAAGUAACUGCACAAAUUCAUGGAAGAAAAUCAAGGCGGUUUAAUACAGAGACUCCAAUUCUGCUUCAGAUAAUUUUAAAAUUCAAAAAAAUUGUAGGCUGGGAAUGUACUCUGGGGAAAUAUCCCUAGAUGAUUGUUCUGAUUUUAUUGUCCAUCUGAAGGUUGUCUGAGGGUUGCUAGUGCUCUGAAGGCUGUCAAAAUUUCAAUUGGAUUAAACUAGAACUUAAUACAAGAUGAAAAUGUAAUCCAUAAACACUUGGAACCAACUGCAUUUUCAGUGCACACUUCAUAUCUUGCUGCACAUUAAUUCUGCAGAACCUAAAUAGGGGCUCAUACUCAUCUUACACACUCUCUCUCCAUUAUUCUCCAGAAGAUGAACAAGGAUCUCAGAAAGAAAUUGCAAUUUAAUGUGCAGCUUUACAUAACAGUAAGUAUUUUAAAAGGAAAGUAAGGUCUCCAACAAAUAGAAACUCCACCUCACCUUUCAGCAAUCCCCUUAACCACUUUCUGGGACUAAGCUUCAAACCAUCAGAUCCCACCAGUAUUUCCAGAAUGAAAAUAAGGCAGUAAAUUCUCACAUAAACUUAGUUGCAUGUGUAGGGUAAGUCAGUUCACAACAGUUGUAGUUAGAGUACUAUGAAUGGAAACCUGGAAGCACAGCUGAACUCAAAGUGCAACAUUUAGGAUUUGAAUUUGAAAGAUUUGGUGUUUUUAGGUUGAAAUAUACUCACUUCUCAUAAUCCGCUGUCUGCACCAUUCUUAUGUACUGACAGGAAUAGGCAUACUUGGUUUGGCUGAUUUUAAUGAGCUCGCUUCUUAUACAGUGUUCCUGCAAGAACACAAUCAAUAUUCAUCUAAUUUAAACCCAAAUCUCAAAAGCAAUGAAGAUACAUAUGCAUAAAAAAUCAACUGUUUAAAUGUAAAUGUAAUCAGCCUCUAAUAAAGAUAAUUAAUAUAAAAUUAAUAUAAAAGUUUCAUGUACAAAGUAAAUUUUAUUUAAUGCAUGCUGUGAAAAAUGCAGUGAAAUUAUCAUAAUG